rnacentral:rRNA from 1 species
AGUGAACGCUGGCGGCAGGCCUAACACAUGCAAGUCGAACGGCAGCACAGUAAUAGCUUGCUCUUACGGGUGUCGCGUGGCGGACGGGGGCUGUAUACAUCGGAUUCUACUUUUUCGUGUGUGCUAACGUAGGGAAUCUUACUCUAAUACCGCAUACGUCCCCCGUGUGAAAGCACGCGUUCUUCUGACCUUUCGCGUUUGAUUGAGCCGAUGUCGGAUUAGCUAGUUGGCGUGGUAAAGGCCCACCAAGGCGACGAUCCGUAGCUGGUCUCAGCGGAUGAUCAGCCAGACUGGAACUGAGACACGGUCCAGACUCCUACGGGAGGACGCAGUGGGGAAUAUUGGGCGAAGGGGGAAAGCCUGAUCCAGCCAUACCGCGUGGGUGAAGAAGGACUUCGGGUUGGAAAACGAUUUUGUUGGGAAAGAAAAGCAGCAGGUUAAUAGCCGGCUGUACUGACGGUACCCAAAGAAUAAGCACCGGCUAACUUCGUG